rnacentral:rRNA from 1 species
UACGUAGGCAGCAAGCGUUGUUCGGAUUCAUUGGGCGUAAAGGGUGCGUAGGUGGCGGGGUAAGUCAGGUGUGAAAUCUCGAGGCUCAACCUCGAAACUGCACUUGAUACUGCCUUGCUCGAGUACUGGAGAGGAGAUUGGAAUUUACGGUGUAGCAGUGAAAUGCGUAGAUAUCGUAAGGAAGACCAGUGGCGAAGGCGAGUCCCUGGACAACACCUGACACUGAGGCACGAAAGCUAGGGGAGCAAACAGG